GAAAAAAUCGCUUCCUCGUAACGUGCGAACGAGCGAAGCCUCCAGGGUGCCCUCGAGCGACGCCACACCAGAUCCCAUCGCCACCGCCCUCGCACUCGCAUCCCUUCGUCGCUGCCCUCGCACAUCAAGCCGCCGCUGAUCCCUGCGCUACGUCGAUGGGAGCCAUCGAUCGUCUUGCUACGAGGACGAUCCCGUUGAGGAGCCGCCGCCGAUCACGCCUAGGAUCCGAUGCCGAUCCCCUUCAGGAGCCGACGCCGAUCCCUUGAGCCAGCGUUGAUCCCCGUUGAGGAGCCGCCGACGAGAUCAUUGCGGAUAUAGAAAGGAGAUGGCCGAGGUAGCCGCAGAUGCGCAGACGCAGGUGGCCUCGGGGUAGCGGCGGCGCCUGCAAUCGGCGCCCUUUUCCAAGGGCCUGCUGCAGCUCCCUUCUUUCUGGAGUCACCCAAACAACCAACCAUCAUGCACCGUGCCCCGCGCUCCCGCCAUCGGAUUCCGUCCGCGUCUGCCACCAUGCGAUUGCCUUCCUCCCUCAGUGCCCUUAACUGAAGUUGGUUAUUCAUGCUGGCACGAAUUGGGCUGGCAAAAUGCUGACAGAGGAGCAGAAGACUAUGCAAGUAUGUAUGUGCCAAAAUUGACGGGCAAGUAAUGUUGACGGGUAAUUAACAAGGCGGUGGUGCUGCGCGAGGCGGUCAAGUUCGAGGUCGCGAGUUGCUGUGUCCACGGAUGUCCGUCGCUGCAUCUUCAUUCUCCUCACCUCCCCCGUCGACUGCAUCUUCAACCUCCAUCCGCCGCCGCCGUCCAUGGGAUGGUUAAUGGAAGGAGAAGCUUGUGGUGUGGCUCUGAAACUCCACCAUAUAACGAUGUUGCAUGUUGUCCAAGGAAGGAAUCAGUGCCGAGGUAAUCAACCUUCGAUCAAUCAGGCCACUGUAUAGAGCUGCCAUAAAAGCAUAUGUUAGGAAAACAAAUAGAUUGGUGGUUCUAGAAGAAGGCUCCCCCCAGCAUCGUGUUGGUGCUGAGAUAUGGCUCUCUCUCUCUCUCUCUCUCUCUCUCUCUCUCUCUCUCUCCACACACAUCAUGUUAGGUUUGAGCAGGCCAACCCUUCUCCAAUUAUUCAUUCGAAUAUACAGAUUCUCCAAUUAUAAGAAAGAAGAAUUUGAUAAAUUAGAGAGAGAUAUGCUUUCAUAAAUUGCUCAUCCCUGAAGGUUACAAAUUCAAGUGUUGGGUUUGAAGGAUGAAGCAAAUCCCAACUCCCAAGUAACAUGUUAAUAUAUGUUGAUGCACAUUUGUUUUUACUUUGCUUUAGGUUCGCAUGCGUUGACAGAGAUUUCAUCAACGUCGCCUCCAUUUUGUUGGUGAACCUACCUUUCCCUCUAAGCGACCUUGCAUAUGGUCAUUGGGUGCUGAUCGCCUCCAUGUCUUUGGUACAUUAUGAAGAAGAAGAUUGCUGGUCGAAAAGGCCAUUUAUUUUAUUGAAGAAAUUGGCAAGGAUGUAUUUUCAGUACAUUAGGAUUUUUGGUAGUCUCAUGGUUCUGCUACGAAGAUACCGUCGCUACCAGGUCAACAAUCCCCCCUUCAAUAAUAUUUGAUUUAUAUUUUUUUAUGCCAUUCAUCGGAUCAAUGUGGCUUACAAUGACCGCUCGUAUGUUUUGAUUGUA